rnacentral:rRNA from 1 species
UUGUCCUACGGGGGGCAGCAGUGGGGAAUAUUGGGCAAUGGACGCAAGUCUGACCCAGCAACGCCGCGUGAAGGAAGAAGGCUUUCGGGUUGUAAACUUCUUUUAAGGGGGAAGAGCAGAAGACGGUACCCCUUGAAUAAGCCACGGCUAACUACGUGCCAGCAGCCGCGGUAAUACGUAGGUGGCAAGCGUUGUCCGGAUUUACUGGGUGUAAAGGGCGUGCAGCCGGAGAGACAAGUCAGCUGUGAAAACUACGGGCUUAACUUGUAGACUGCAGUUGAAACUGGUUUUCUUGAGUGAAGUAG